GAUGAACGCUGGCGGCGUGCCUAAUACAUGCAAGUCGAGCGAACAGACGAGGAGCUUGCUCCUCUGACGUUAGCGGCGGACGGGUGAGUAACACGUGGAUAACCUACCUAUAAGACUGGGAUAACUUCGGGAAACCGGAGCUAAUACCGGAUAAGAUAUUGAACCGCAUGGUUCAAUAGUGAAAGACGGCUUUGCUGUCUCUUAUAGAUGGAUCCGCGCCGCAUGAGCUAGUUGGUAAGGUAACGGCUUACCAAGGCAACGAUGCGUAGGCGACCUGAGAGGGUGAUCGGCCACACUGGAGCUGAGACACGGUCCAGACUCCUACGGGAGGCAGCAGUAGGGAAUCUUCCGCAAUGGGCGAAAGCCUGACGGAGCAACGCCGCGUGAGUGAUGAAGGUCUUCGGAUCGUAAAACUCUGUUAUUAGGGAAGAACAAAUGUGUAAGUAACUAUGCACGUCUUGACGGUACCUAAUCAGAAAGCCACGGCUAACUACGUG
rnacentral:rRNA from 1 species